AUCACAUAAGGGGGCCCAUACGGCCGUACGUUCCAUGUGCCUUGUUCCCGGGUGCGCCGCCGUCUCUCAGAGUCGGAGGCGCCGAGUACUCAAACGCGCCGCAGUUUCCGACCUCGCAACCAAGCCUCCACCACAUCCCACGGACCGAUCCCCCUCUUGCCCCCCACCGCCCGACGCGGCGGCGCCGCCUCUUCGCCCUCGGCUCCGGCGACCGCCGCUGCUACCUCGCCGUCGGGUGCCUCAUGCCUCGCCGUAUGAUUGAUGGUUUGUGAUGCAAUACAACCAUCUGGAUUCAUCGCGGGCAUAAUUCUGCAGUGGUUGCUGUUCAGUUCUUCAGAAAAAGAAAAUAUGGGCAGAUAUGCCUCAAACAAAGUGAAGAAAACCAAGAGAUCCAUGGACCUGUCGUACGGUUCGUCAAUUCAAUCAGGUUCUUUCAUCAUCGGCAAAACAGAGGACAAUAACUGGCAAGAAAGCUAAACAGCAUAGUAAACCGAACUACUAGUCCGGUACAAAUUGAGUGCAAGAAGCAACCAAGGUUUUGAUUCAUAUCACUGUCAAACACUAUAUUUCCGCCUAUAGUGUAUGUAUGGCUAGAGUUCCAUAAAUGACUGGUUGAAUUGACGAACCGUACAACAGGUCCAUAGUGUACGGAAAAUAUAGUGUACACUAUAUUUCCUGAUUGAAUUGACGAACCGUACAACAGGUUCCAUGGACACUAUAUUUUCUGUACUAGGAAGAGUCCCUAGUACAGAAUCGAAUGAGCUCAGGAAGAGAACUAGGGACUCUUCCUGAGACAUCAAUUACAUCAAAUGUGAUUUUGAUAUGCAGCAGCAA